rnacentral:rRNA from 1 species
UACAGAGGUCUCAAGCGUUGUUCGGAUUCAUUGGGCGUAAAGGGUGCGUAGGCGGCGCGGUAAGUCGGGUGUGAAAUCUCGGAGCUUAACUCCGAAACUGCAUUCCAUACUGCGGUGCUUGAGGACUGGAGAGGAGACUGGAAUUCAUGGUGUAGCAGUGAAAUGCGUAGAGAUCAUGAGGAAGACCAGUGGCGAAGGCGGGUCUCUGGGCCGAUACUGACGCUGAGGAGCGAAAGCGUGGGGAGCGAACAGG